rnacentral:RNase_P_RNA from 1 species
UACGGCGGCGGGACAGUUCGCAAGAACUGCCUGAGGAAAGUCCGGGCUUCACAGAGGCAUAGCAACUGCUAACGGCAGCCGGGGGUGACCCCAGGGAUAGUGCAACAGAAAGAAACCGCCGUACCUUGUGUGCGGUAAGGAUGGAAAGGCGAGGUAAGAGCUCACCAGCGCACUGGCGACUUUGCGGCUAUGUAAACCCUGCUUGAAGCAACAUCCGUAUGGGACAUAAUGCGGAGCCUCGCGCGUCCCGGUGAUGGCGUGAGCCUUGCGGCGACGCAAGGCCAAGAUAGAUCGUCGUUUGAUACAGAACCCGGCUUACGGUCCAGUC